ACCGCUUUACGUACAGUUAAGACGGAGCAGCUCGAACCGGCUGAUAUCACAGACCAAAUUUUCAUUGGCGUCUUUUUAGACAUCUAACGAUACACCUGGUACUUCAGAUCUAUAAUUCCAAACCUUUCUUCAACGGAACACAGAAUGGCAAAAGCAAAAAGCAAUGGAUGAAGAAGGCGCAAGGGUCGUGCCUGAGGAUGAUAAGUGAAAUGAACGUGGCGAUCCACGGAUCGAGUCUGGCAAUUUCUGGUGGCAAAUUUGACUGGAAGGCUAUGAAGAGGGCAGGACCGGGAUCAAUGAUGGGGACUGCUGCUAUUCUUUCUGCGAAGUCUGGAGGAGCUUUAACAUAUACGAAGAUCUACAGUGGCGAGAUAGUCCACGGAUUUUUUCCAGAAUUUCCAUUACUAUGAUUAUUAGACCCCGCCAUUAUCAAGAUAACCCGCCAUCCGGGCGCCCUCGCUCCAUCUACAUAAGCCUCAUGCAUCUGUCCCAUGUGCUCAACACAUAAAUUGUAGCGAUUUCCGGCUCGCCUGAAGUGCUUAAAACGUCGCGAAAGAUAAAAUGGCCGGAUGUCCUGAAGGUUGAUUGUUAGGAAAAAUAGUGUACGUUCUACUACUUGUGCAAAGGUGGUCAAAGAGUGUGGAGAUAUAUGAGAGGCGGUGUCCCACCAUUAUAUGGAUGGCCGCCCGAGUGGUUGUCUUGAUCAUGGCGGAAUCUUUUGUAUGGGAUAUCCUUUCUCUGGAGGAAAAAUUCCGUGCGAACUACUAUCUCACCGCCGUAUUAACCAUCAUAAAGAUCACUUUCUGAACAAAAACUUGGGAUAUUGAAAAAUUUCGAGGUUCAAGCGAGGAGCGACGGGCCGGCAAUUUUGAGGUUCAUCCCCGGCGUCGCCAUCACCUUAUUAGCGUGCAUAGAAAUGCGAAAAGACACUACUUCAUUAUUGCAUUUGUUGCCCAAAAAGAAGCGUCAACCUAGGUUGUUAACUCCAUCCUUGUUAUUAUGACUACCACUUGACGGCCAGUUCUUCUCUUUUCAGUCCAAACCCCGAUCAUUCGACACCCAUUCUCCAUUGGAUAUCCGCCUAUAUAAUAUUUGCAGCUUCCGCUUCUCAAGCAUAACGAAAAUAUCUUACUGCGCCACUUAUCAACGACGCCUAAUAUAUGCUUGCAGUUCUUCCGAUUAUUAACAACGGCAACCAUUGUUUCAACAGUGAAGAUGAACGACGUCGCUUGCGCUGCCUGCUUCAUUUGAUCAUAAGGCAUAAUUCAUCGGGACAAAUGUAGUAAUACCAAAGGCUAGAUGCUGGCCGACAAAACCAAUAGCACAAGUUGUCAACUGUACCGGUAGGACUAUGAGGACAUGACUAUUACAUACUUCUG
rnacentral:sRNA from 1 species